AGAGGGGGCCAUGUCUGUGGACGCUGUGCUCGGGGAAGCAGAGCUGUUCCCUCUCCUGUGCCCGCAGGUGCAGCAGUCAGCAGCGCCCUGACCCAGCCCUGCUCUCAGUGUGCUCAGUGAUGCCCAGCAGUCCUUGUGUCUGCAGCAGAUCCUUGGGAAGUGAGCCCAGCACCAGCAGUGCUGAGGAGAUGUGUAAGCGUUUGCUCGCACCACUGAAGUGCAGCAGAGUCCUGCCUGUGUUUCAUGGCUCUGCUCUGUGAAGUCCACCCAGGCACUGUACAGUGUAUUUUUCUUACUGUUUUUCUUUCGGAAAGCCAGGACACAAAGCAAGCAGAAAACCCUUUGUGCAGUGAGGGCUGGGGCACAGAACAUGUGGGAGCAGCAGGAAAGCAGCACGCGUCAUCUACCUGCCCUGCUGACUUGGUGAGUUGGAUGCCACCACAGCUGAAUGGGAUUCUGCAACUAGACAUAUCCUGCCAGGAGUAUGCUGGAGCUUGUCUGCUGCACUGCCCUGCUCUGCCUGUCCCUGCACGAGCUGCAGGUUUAGGCGUGCAGCCUCCCAGCAGCCCUGCUUUCUGCAUAAGGGCUUUGCUGCUCACCCUUUGCUGAGCCCUCCCCCAGGAGGACAGCACGCUGCUCCCUGCAUGAGGCUCACUGCAUUACUGUAGCUAAUCCUGAGGCAGGGUCAUUACUGUACAUGGUUUUUGUUUGGUUGUUUGUUUGUUCGUUUGUUUUCCAGUUGAGCAAUUACAAAUGCAACUCCCAGGGCACUUCCUUCAAGGUGCCACAUUGGAAAUUAGAGGGGAAUAAGGAUGCUUAUUCUUAAAGUUCCUCCUAGAAAUCUUCUUUCUUUUUUGAAACUCCUGGUGGGGGAGGAACAGUUGUUCUUUCUCUUGAAUGACAAAUACCCAUUUGUAUAAUAUCAGUGUUAAAAAUGUUGAGAUUUUCACAAAAAAAAAUAUUUUAAAAAAAGUAUAAUAGUGUCAUUAAUAUAAAAUAUAAUAGCAGUAUUUAAUCCUUUCAGAUCUGUAAAGAAUAAGGAAAAACAGAAGGUAAAUAUUCUUACAGAGAGUAGCUGAGCUUUAAGGUUCACUUGGUUUAAAGUCCUCAUUUUGUUUGCAAAUGCAUUGUUAAUGUUUAGAGGUUAUACUAAUGUUAUUUAUUAAUUGUUUCCAUUCUUGUAUGCUGCCCACUAAGAGCUUCUUUGGGAUUUCAUUCACCUGUGUCAGUAAAAAGAAAAAAAAGAAAACGAAACAAAGUUUUAUUUUUAAAUAAAAUUUCCUUUGUUGUAGC
rnacentral:lncRNA from 1 species